GCUCUGGUGGCCUAGUGGUUAGAGCGUCCGCCUCGGAUGAGGGAGGUCGUGGGUUCUAUCCCGGACGAGUCAUACCAAAGAUUCA